UGAAACCGUCUAUACAUAUUUGGGAGAACUAUCCUGAAGCAUGGUUAUGUUUGAUGCAAAUUUUGAAGGUUAUCAACACUCACAAAUGCUUUUACAGCUAAUUUCUGCCCUGAGCAAAGACCCACAAAUACAUCCGGAUUUACCUUUCCAAGAACUGUCCCAGGCCAGUUUGCCUCAUCUACAGAGCAAUGUGAAAGCGGACCAAAUGCUGGGAUUCCCAAAGCAUCAGCCCUCUGUGACAUAAAUACUCCAAAGUUCCAUACACCAAAUAUUCUGAAUUGUACUUUAACCUUGGACGACAUUGAUGCAGAUAUUUCUGGGGUUCCUGUGAAAGAAAAGAUGUUUUUGGCUUUCAGUGUUCAGAUCCUUACAUCCAAACCAGAACGUCUAACACCCCAUAACAUCACAAAAGCAGUGAAUAUAGCCAACAUGCUGCUUUCCUCUGAAACCAAUGAA